rnacentral:rRNA from 2 species
GGGAGCUUGCUCCCUGAUGUUAGCGGCGGACGGGUGAGUAACACGUGGGUAACCUGCCUGUAAGACUGGGAUAACUCCGGGAAACCGGGGCUAAUACCGGAUGCUUGUUUGAACCGCAUGGUUCAAACAUAAAAGGUGGCUUCGGCUACCACUUACAGAUGGACCCGCGGCGCAUUAGCUAGUUGGUGAGGUAACGGCUCACCAAGGCAACGAUGCGUAGCCGACCUGAGAGGGUGAUCGGCCACACUGGGACUGAGACACGGCCCAGACUCCUACGGGAGGCAGCAGUAGGGAAUCUUCCGCAAUGGACGAAAGUCUGACGGAGCAACGCCGCGUGAGUGAUGAAGGUUUUCGGAUCGUAAAGCUCUGUUGUUAGGGAAGAACAAGUACCGUUCGAAUAGGGCGGUACCUUGACGGUACCUAACCAGAAAGCCACGGCUAACUACGUGCCAGCAGCCGCGGUAAUACGUAGGUGGCAAGCGUUGUCCGGAAUUAUUGGGCGUAAAGGGCUCGCAGGCGGUUUCUUAAGUCUGAUGUGAAAGCCCCCGGCUCAACCGGGGAGGGUCAUUGGAAACUGGGGAACUUGAGUGCAGAAGAGGAGAGUGGAAUUCCACGUGUAGCGGUGAAAUGCGUAGAGAUGUGGAGGAACACCAGUGGCGAAGGCGACUCUCUGGUCUGUAACUGACGCUGAGGAGCGAAAGCGUGGGGAGCGAACAGGAUUAGAUACCCUGGUAGUCCACGCCGUAAACGAUGAGUGCUAAGUGUUAGGGGGUUUCCGCCCCUUAGUGCUGCAGCUAACGCAUUAAGCACUCCGCCUGGGGAGUACGGUCGCAAGACUGAAACUCAAAGGAAUUGACGGGGGCCCGCACAAGCGGUGGAGCAUGUGGUUUAAUUCGAAGCAACGCGAAGAACCUUACCAGGUCUUGACAUCCUCUGACAAUCCUAGAGAUAGGACGUCCCCUUCGGGGGCAGAGUGACAGGUGGUGCAUGGUUGUCGUCAGCUCGUGUCGUGAGAUGUUGGGUUAAGUCCCGCAACGAGCGCAACCCUUGAUCUUAGUUGCCAGCAUUCAGUUGGGCACUCUAAGGUGACUGCCGGUGACAAACCGGAGGAAGGUGGGGAUGACGUCAAAUCAUCAUGCCCCUUAUGACCUGGGCUACACACGUGCUACAAUGGACAGAACAAAGGGCAGCGAAACCGCGAGGUUAAGCCAAUCCCACAAAUCUGUUCUCAGUUCGGAUCGCAGUCUGCAACUCGACUGCGGAAG